AAACUGGGAUUAGAUACCCCACUAUGCCUGGCCCUAAAUCUUGAUGCUCUAUGCUACCUGAGCAUCCGCCCGAGAACUACGAGCACAAACGCUUAAAACUCUAAGGACUUGGCGGUGUCCCAAACCCACCUAGAGGAGCCUGUUCUGUAAUCGAUGAUCCACGAUAUUACCUGACCAUUCCUUGCUAAGUACAGCCUACAUACCGCCGUCGCCAGCCCACCCCCCCUGAUGGUUCAACAGUGAGCGCAAUAGUCCCUACCCACUAGUAAGACAGGUCAAGGUAUAGCCUAUGGAAUGGAAGCAAUGGGCUACAUUUUCUAGUUUAGAACAUUACGGCAAGAAGGCCUGAAAUGGCCUUCAGAAGGCGGAUUUAGCAGUAAAGUGGGACUAUCGAGCCCUCUUUAAGCCGGCUCUGGGACACGUACAUACCGCCCGUCACCCUC
rnacentral:rRNA from 1 species